rnacentral:rRNA from 1 species
GACGAACCGUGCGAACGUUAUUCGGAAUCACUGGGCUUAAAGCGCGUGUAGGCGGGACGGCACGUCGGUCGCUGAAAUCCCCCGGCUCAACCGGGGAACGGGCGCCGAUACGACCGCCCUGGAGGGCGUAGGGGGACCUGGAACUUCCGGUGGAGCGGUGAGAUGCGUUGAGAUCGGCAAGGAACGCCCGUGGCGAAAGCGAGGUCCUGGACGCCUACUGACGCUGAGACGCGAAAGCCAGGGGAGCCGAACGGG